rnacentral:lncRNA from 1 species
UGCGUGAGCAGGACAGGAACCAGGGCUCAGGCUGUGGCCCCAACGCUUCCUGUUCGACAGAAAGAAACACAGCGAGGCAGCGGCAGCAGCACGAAGCUGCGGGCACCCGGAGGACAGCGUUUGUGCCCUGCAGCCCCGCGCUCACCCAGCUGCACCGAGGCACAGCCAGCAAGAAACGUAACAGGUUGAAAAGCAAAGCUAAAGGACACGGUUGGUAAUUAGAGAGGGUGACUUCAGGCUGUGGCAGAAGGACAUAAGUUAUUCGCUCUCCAAGAAGGCCUCAACGCUUUGCUCAGCUCGGGGACAGGGGGUCUCGCCAUGAUCAGCCCCCCAGAACGGGCCCGGCCGCGGCGUGCAGGCGAGAGCUACGAGGAGAAAUGCGAGCGGCGGCAGGAGACACGCGAGGCUUUGCGGCGCCGUGGCCACGCACACAGCGCCCGGCGGCCGGGCCGCAGCGAGGAGCAGCCACAGAGCCCACGGCAGAGAGAGUUCCUGCGCAGGCGGAACCUUGGGAGCACCGCCGGGGAGCUCAGCGCACCCGUCCUGCUCCAGCGCCCAUGGAGUCACCCCGUGUGCCCAUCCACACUCGCCCCACUUGGGCUCAGCAGUCCUACAGGCAUUUUGGCUGAAGCCAUCCCUAGGCCACACACCUCUACAAGCACCAGAGGAACUCAGACUCCUGCAAGCACGAGGGUGAAGGACUCAGGCCAACAGACAGACUGUGGAAAUACAGUUUUCAAUAAGGAAAUCGUGCAGCUCUCUGGUUACCUGAAGGUAGGCACCAGGCACCACGAGCAGCCCUGGAGCAAGAACCACCAUACACUAUUAUCAUUAUCAGACCAAGGGCUGCUUCCCCACAGGAGGCCCUGCACCGUG